UACGUAGGGCGCAAGCGUUGUCCGGAAUUAUUGGGCGUAAAGAGCUCGUAGGCGGCCUGUUGCGUCCGCUGUGAAAUCCGGGGGCUCAACCCCGGGCCUGCAGUGGAUACGGGCUGGCUAGAGGCAGGCAGGGGAGAACGGAAUUCCUGGUGUAGCGGUGAAAUGCGCAGAUAUCAGGAGGAACACCGGUGGCGAAGGCGGUUCUCUGGGCCUGUACUGACGCUGAGGAGCGAAAGCGUGGGGAGCGAACAGG
rnacentral:rRNA from 1 species